GGAAUCUUGCGCAAUGGGCGAAAGCCUGACGCAGCAACGCCGCGUGCGGGAAGAAGGCUUUCGGGCUGUAAACCGCUUUCAGUAGGAACGAAACUGACGGUACCUACAGAAGAAGGAGCGGCCAACUAUGUGCCAGCAGCCGCGGUGACACAUAGGCUCCAAGCGUUGUCCGGAUUUAUUGGGCGUAAAGAGCUCGUAGGCGGUUGAGUAAGUCGGGUGUGAAAACUUUGGGCUUAACCCAAAGAUGCCACUCGAUACUGCUUUGACUUGAGUUCGGUAGGGGAGUGGGGAAUUCCUUGUGUAGCGGUGAAAUGCGCAGAUAUAAGGAGGAACACCGGUGGCGAAGGCGCCACUCUGGGCCGAUACUGACGCUGAGGAGCGAAAGCGUGGGGAGCAAACAGGAUUAGAUACCCUGGUAGUCCACGCGGUAAACGGUGGUCACUAGGUGUGGGUCUCUUCAAACGAGAUCUGCGCCGUCGCCAACGCAUUAAGUGACCCGCCUGGGGAGUACGGUCGCAAGACUAAAACUCAAAUGAAUUGACGGA
rnacentral:rRNA from 1 species